AAUUAUCUUACUCAUUAGUCAAUUCACCACUGUGCAGCAGUUGUCCUUUAUCCAUCUUUGUUCUAUUGUUAUUAUUUAUUAACAAUAUCAGUAUUAUAACAAUACUCUAUUGUAUUAUUUAUUAACAAUAUCAGUUGUUCUAACAAUAGAGUAAACUCUAUUGUUAGAACAACUCUGACCAUUCUUACCCUACGUUCAAAAUAUUUCUAGUUUUCACAACUCGCUGUCCAAAAUUCCAUUAAAUUUUAUGGCAAAUCUUGUAAUUUAGCUCAUAUUUAAAAUACAUUUUUAGAAUUAAUGAAUGCCUUUUUAUUAGAGUUGUUUUAAUGGUAAUAAAUCUGCUUACAGAUUAAAAUUUCUUCUGUCUUGAUUGUGGCUCGGCUGUCAGGAUAGAAGUGUUAGAAAGAAAACUAUCAUCAGUCUUUUUUUGUCUUGACCUGGACCUUGUAACUGGUGGAGAAAAUACAAAUGAAGGAACAGAAGUCUGAGGUGUAGAUAACUGGGGUAAAACUAUAAUCCAAAAAAUAAACAAAUAAUGCCACCGAGAGGUGAACGAACUUCAGGAACUUUAAACCUUAAUUGUUUGACGUUUGAAUCUAGAAAAUAAAAGAUAAAAAAUGUAUAUGUAUUCGAUCAGUAAAUGUUUUGUUAAAAAAUUAAAA